rnacentral:rRNA from 1 species
GUUCGGUCCCUAUCUACCGUGGGCGCUGGAAAUUUGAGAGGAUCUGCUCCUAGUACGAGAGGACCAGAGUGGACGAACCUCUGGUGUACCGGUUGUGACGCCAGUCGCAUCGCCGGGUAGCUAUGUUCGGAAGGGAUAACCGCUGAAAGCAUCUAAGCGGGAAGCCUACCUCAAGAUAAGAUUUCCCUAGGACUUUAUGUCCUCUAAAGAGCCGUUCGAGACUAGGACGUUGAUAGGUUGGAUGUGGAAGCAUAGUGAUAUGUGAAGCUGACCAAUACUAAUUGCUCGUGAGGCUUGACUAUACAACACCCAAGCAGUUG